UACAGAGGUCCCAAGCGUUGUUCGGAUUCACUGGGCGUAAAGGGUGCGUAGGUGGCGAAGUAAGUCGGAUGUGAAAUCUCCGGGCUCAACCCGGAAAAUGCAUUGGAAACUGCUUUGCUCGAGGGUUGGAAGGGGGACUGGAAUACUUGGUGUAGCAGUGAAAUGCGUAGAUAUCAAGUGGAACACCAGUGGCGAAGGCGAGUCCCUGGACAACUCCUGACACUGAGGCACGAAAGCUAGGGGAGCAAACAGG
rnacentral:rRNA from 1 species